UAUUUGGAUGUGUGUCUGUUUGCUCCAUCAACGCCCAUUUUCACGUGCCUGCCGAGGGAAAAUCACCGUGUAAAACAUGUUCAAGCAUUAUUUCUCUGAGCAUGUGUGUGAGGAAAUUUGUAUUUUUGCUUCAGGAACGGACGACAGACAGACAGGUGAUGGCUCUGCUCUCUGGCUGCGCACCAGGUAAUGUGAGCAAUCAGAGGUACUUCAGAAAGCCGGCGGUCGCAGGUGUCACUCCGAAUCCAGCUCCUCAUAAACAAACAUGCUGCCACGGCUCGAGUUCACCGAGGGCGUCUGUCCCGCCGCGAACUCUCGCGUGCCCCUGAGAGCUUCUACCUGCUCAUGUCUCGCGUGGCUCUUGUGUUCGGAGACAAAGAGGGAGGAUCAGCCCUGAUGACCCAGAAAGACGCUCACGGAUGGGCCUAAUUAGAUUAGCCCAGUGUGACGAACAGGAGAUGACGUCAUCGUCAUGUGACCGGAUCAGACUGUCAGAGGUUAAUGCUCUGAUCUGGGAUCAGAUGGCAUCUUGAAAUGUUACUUCAUUAAAGAACAAAUGUGC